rnacentral:rRNA from 1 species
UACGUAGGGUGCAAGCGUUGUCCGGAAUUAUUGGGCGUAAAGAGCUCGUAGGCGGUUAGUCGCGUCUGCUGUGAAAACUCGGGGCUUAACUCCGGGCCUGCAGUGGGUACGGGCUGACUAGAGUGCGGUAGGGGAGACUGGAAUUCCUGGUGUAGCGGUGAAAUGCGCAGAUAUCAGGAGGAACACCGGUGGCGAAGGCGGGUCUCUGGGUCGUAACUGACGCUGAGGAGCGAAAGCGUGGGGAGCGAACAGG